rnacentral:misc_RNA from 1 species
AAAGUUUGGUACUUUAGGUACAAACACAUUUACUUUCCAGCAAAACAUUUACUAGGAACUCAAACUCCUGUUGUUAAGGAAUAAAAUGACCAAAACUUCUAAACAAACAAACAAAAAUUGGAGCCAAGGCUUUGUUGCUAGAAUUCUGUAACUGUGUGCUUCAGCCAGAAGCUAUUUCAGACAGUUGAUGGAACUUUGUUCGUGCUUCUCAGCCCGCGUCUUUCUAAUAUUAGCUUUUAGUCACUGCAGGUAUAUGAGUUCUCUCCUUGCUUGUACUGACUGGAUAAUAUCCUCUUCUUCUCUUCUAUAGUAUAGACAAGUUAUGUACAGGAUGGAUUUUCUUGUUAUUUCUGCUUCAUAAGGCUCAGGAGAAAAUCUGUAAAUAUGUGCUCGUAUUCUGGCAUUUUACCGUAUCCAGGGAAAUAGUUGAUAUCUAUUACGUAAUAACGGUCUUUAGUCCCGUGUUCUCGAAUUAUAUCCAAGUUAAAGAGCCUGAGACCCAGUCUACGACGAAGUUCCUUAGCAAGCCUCUCAAGUAAUGGCCGCGGAGGAAGCUCACCAACACUAGGAUCUAAAUCAGCUUCUUCUGCAGAUGCUGCAACACACGAAACCCUAGGGAAAUGGAAAACCCCAGCAUUGUUGGACAGCUCGAGUUUGCUAACAUCUGGUAAGCUGAAACGCCUGACAACCUUAACGGCUUCCCCAACAAUAAAAACCUUAAAAAGUACACCUCCAUGAUUGAUAAACUCCUGCAGAACAAGCGGUGGUUCAAGCUUCUGAAGAGAGACCAUAUCGUAGGCCAAAGACAACUCAUGUGACUUUGCAACCAAAGGCUUUGCCACAAGAGGUAGUGAAAGACCAGCUUUAUCCACUGCAUCUGAGAUAGACGAAGGAUCUUUCUCUAUAACCAAUUGCCUGGGAACACCUACUUUGCCAUAGCUAUCUGACAAGUUCAAGUCUGCAACCUCUUCAAGCAUGUAUUGACGAUUAUAUACCUGCUGUAUGGCAUCUGGAGGAUCAAGGACCGCGACAUGUGGAUGUGUUUGCCUAUAAUCCUCAAGAAUACGACUCCACUUGCUUCCUGACAACUUGUGGAGCACAAUGUCAAAAGGACCUUGAUCUGAAAGGGGUUUGCUCUGAUCUAUAGCAACAAACAGUAUUCCCUUAUUUCUAGCUAGACCUACAAGCUUGGGCUGCAAAAAGCUCUUAGUUUUCUUGGAUGUAAGAGCAUAGCCUACCACCACCAACUUCAUCUGUUGCUGGGGAGACCCAUGAGCCACCACCAUUUCCAUUUCCCUUUCCUCUUCCUCUUCUUCUACCUCCCUCUCAUACCCCACUACAUUUUCAACCCCCAUCCUCAUCCCACUAAGAAAUACCUUUCUUUUACACCAAAAUUUAUGUACUUACACCAAAUUACACCCCACACAACCAAAACAAUAAAAGAUUGAAUCUUUUUCCAAA